AAAAGUGAGCGGAUGAACUGAGGGUAGCGGAGAAAUUCCAAUCGAACCUGGAGAUAGCUGGUUCUCUCCGAAAUAGCUUUAGGGCUAGCCUCAAGUGAUGAUUAUUGGAGGUAGAGCACUGUUUGGACGAGGGGCCCCUCUCGGGUUACCGAAUUCAGACAAACUCCGAAUGCCAAUUAAUUUAACUUGGGAGUCAGAACAUGGGUGAUAAGGUCCGUGUUCGAAAGGGAAACAGCCCAGACCACCAGCUAAGGUCCCAAAAUAUAUGUUAAGUGGAAAAGGAUGUGGCGUUGCCCAGACAACUAGGAUGUUGGCUUAGAAGCAGCCAUCAUUUAAAGAGUGCGUAAUAGCUCACUAGUCGAGUGACACUGCGCCGAAAAUGUACCGGGGCUAAACAUAUUACCGAAGCUGUGGAUUGUCCUUUGGACAAUGGUAGGAGAGCGUUCUAAGGGCGUUGAAGCAUGAUCGCAAGGACAUGUGGAGCGCUUAGAAGUGAGAAUGCCGGUGUGAGUAGCGAAAGACGGGUGAGAAUCCCGUCCACCGAUUGACUAAGGUUUCCAGAGGAAGGCUCGUCCGCUCUGGGUUAGUCGGGUCCUAAGCUGAGGCCGACAGGCGUAGGCGAUGGAUAACAGGUUGAUAUUCCUGUACCACCUAUAAUCGUUUUAAUCGAUGGGGGGACGCAGUAGGAUAGGCGAAGCGUGCGAUUGGAUUGCACGUCUAAGCAGUAAGGCUGAGUAUUAGGCAAAUCCGGUACUCGUUAAGGCUGAGCUGUGAUGGGGAGAAGACAUUGUGUCUUCGAGUCGUUGAUUUCACACUGCCGAGAAAAGCCUCUAGAUAGAAAAUAGGUGCCCGUACCGCAAACCGACACAGGUAGUCAAGAUGAGAAUUCUAAGGUGAGCGAGCGAACUCUCGUUAAGGAACUCGGCAAAAUGACCCCGUAACUUCGGGAGAAGGGGUGCUCUUUAGGGUUAACGCCCAGAAGAGCCGCAGUGAAUAGGCCCAAGCGACUGUUUAUCAAAAACACAGGUCUCUGCUAAACCGUAAGGUGAUGUAUAGGGGCUGACGCCUGCCCGGUGCUGGAAGGUUAAGAGGAGUGGUUAGCUUCUGCGAAGCUACGAAUCGAAGCCCCAGUAAACGGCGGCCGUAACUAUAACGGUCCUAAGGUAGCGAAAUUCCUUGUCGGGUAAGUUCCGACCCGCACGAAAGGCGUAACGAUUUGGGCACUGUCUCAACGAGAGACUCGGUGAAAUCAUAGUACCUGUGAAGAUGCAGGUUACCCGCGACAGGACGGAAAGACCCCGUGGAGCUUUACUGUAGCCUGAUAUUGAAAUUCGGCACAGCUUGUACAGGAUAGGUAGGAGCCUUUGAAACGUGAGCG
rnacentral:rRNA from 1 species